GAGCUGUAGCAAAACCGUUUUGUUUCUAAAAGGGUGUCAUUGUUAAUACUUUAAAUAUUAGGAUAAUCUGAUUUCACACCUUUCUUAAUAAACUUCAGUACAUGGCAUACCAUGUAUUAAAUGCCAUCCAUUUGUAUAUACAAAUACUCUGUUAUGAAGAAUGAGAGCGUAUAUCAAUAACCAGUGGCUAGGUGUGUAACCGGUGGCCAUUCUUAUAUUGGCUGAACAAGAAACUAAAAGCUAAAGAAUUGUGACCAGGGAAAAGAUGCUUAAGUGAAAACAGCGUUUAUGCUGUCUGAGCAGUCAGUCACAGAGACGCUUAUGUUCACUAGAGUACCAGUAUUAGAUUUUAUAAAACAAUUGACAAGGGUGUGUGUAAUUAUUUUCUGAUGUUUAAGGUAUAUGUGCAGAUUCAGCCUACUGUAAUAAUGUAAUUUUGCCAUUGCUUUUGGCUAACUCCUUUUUUGGAAAUGUCCUUUUUUUUUUUUUAAUGUAUAUGCUUUUUUAAAUAGUUGGCCAUGAAUGUGUAUAUUUACAUUUCUGAAUUAAAAUGCAGUUAAAGUAACUGGCAAGUUUUAUUGAUAUUUGUGACAUUUACUGUACCUGAAAUUAAUCACCACCAGAUUGUCCGAAAGCAGCAGGAACUUCUUAUAUAGCCACUAUUCCUCUUCCUUUUCAAAGCACCAAGCUCUUACAGACAAAUUUGAAAAUGUUACAAG
rnacentral:lncRNA from 1 species